rnacentral:rRNA from 1 species
GGCAAGGGGGGGUGCUUACCAUGCAGUCGACGAUGAAGCUGGGGCUUGCUCUGGUGGAUUAGUGGCGAACGGGUGAGUAACACGUGAGUAACCUGCCCCUGACUCUGGGAUAAGCGCUGGAAACGGCGUCUAAUACCGGAUAUGCACGGUAACCGCAUGGUUUGUCGUGGGAAAGAUUUAUCGGUUGGGGAUGGACUCGCGGCCUAUCAGCUUGUUGGUGAGGUAAUGGCUCACCAAGGCGUCGACGGGUAGCCGGCCUGAGAGGGUGACCGGCCACACUGGGACUGAGACACGGCCCAGACUCCUACGGGAGGCAGCAGUGGGGAAUAUUGCACAAUGGGCGCAAGCCUGAUGCAGCAACGCCGCGUGAGGGAUGACGGCCUUCGGGUUGUAAACCUCUUUUAGCAGGGAAGAAAGCUUCGGUUGAGGGUACCUGC